rnacentral:rRNA from 1 species
AGUGAACGCUGGCGGUAGGCCUAACACAUGCAAGUCGAACGGCAGCACAGUAAGAGCUUGCUCUUACGGGUGGCGAGUGGCGGAUGGGUGAGGAAUACAUCGGAAUCUACUUUUUCGUGGGGGAUAACGUAGGGAAACUUACGCUAAUACCGCAUACGACCUACGGGUGAAAGCAGGGGAUCUUCGGACCUUGCGCGAUUGAAUGAGCCGAUGUCGGAUUAGCUAGUUGGCGGGGUAAAGGCCCACCAAGGCGACGAUCCGUAGCUGGUCUGAGAGGAUGAUCGGCCACACUGGAACUGAGACACGGUCCAGACUCCUACGGGAGGCAGCAGUGGGGAAUAUUGGACAAUGGGCGCAAGCCUGAUCCAGCCAUACCGCGUGGGUGAAGAAGGCCUUCGGGUUGUAAAGCCCUUUUGUUGGGAAAGAAAAGCAGCAGGUUAAUACCCCGCUGUUCUGACGGUACCCAAAGAAUAAGCACCGGCUAACUUCGUG